rnacentral:lncRNA from 1 species
GGCACGGAAUAAGCGCCUUGGUGCUGUGAUUGUUUGACGCCGGAAUCGCUUUCCAAUCCGAUGCGCUUUGGACGAGGCCGGUGGGAUGGCGGCGCUAUUGAGGUCUAGCACAACGGGAUCUGUGUGAUGCAAGCGGGGGAUUUGCUGGUUGUGGAUUAAUUGCAGCGACUUCUUCAUGGUCGUGUGUGGAUACUGAGUUUGUCUCUUUUAGCUAGGCAGAGGGCGGUGGUUCCUCGUUCUUCUGGAUUGGGUCGGACACAGUGUGCAGGAGGCGGUGUAUGGCAGCUGGCGUCUUGACGGCUGCUGGUUGGGUGUGUGUUCAUGAGGGCGGUGAUUUGGGCUAGGGGUCGUCAACGGGCCGGGUCGGGCCCGGCCCGGCCCAUUCAUAGCGGGCUCGGGCCGGGCCGGGCC